rnacentral:rRNA from 1 species
AUUGAACGCUGGCGGCAUGCCUUACACAUGCAAGUCGAACGGUAACAGGUCUUCGGAUGCUGACGAGUGGCGAACGGGUGAGUAAUACAUCGGAACGUGCCCGAGAGUGGGGGAUAACGAGGCGAAAGCUUUGCUAAUACCGCAUACGAUCUCAGGAUGAAAGCAGGGGACCGCAAGGCCUUGCGCUCACGGAGCGGCCGAUGGCAGAUUAGGUAGUUGGUGGGAUAAAAGCUUACCAAGCCGACGAUCUGUAGCUGGUCUGAGAGGACGACCAGCCAACAUGGGAAUGGGACCAGGGCCAAGCUUCUACGGGAGGGAGCAGUGGGGAAUUUUUGACAAUGGGCGCAAGCCUGACCCAGCCAUGCCGCGUGCAGGAUGAAGGCCUUCGGGUUGUAAACUGCUUUUGUACGGAACGAAAAGACUCUGGUUAAUACCUGGGGUCCAUGACGGUACCGUAAGAAUAAGCACCGGCUAACUACGUGCCAGCCGCCGCCGUAAGAC